UUUGUAAUUAGAGUGAGUACAUGGUGCUUCCUCACUGGGGAAAAAAAAAAGAGAUGAGCAGCUGUCUCAGCAAUAUUGAAGUCAGCGAGGACUCCCAAUGAAAUCAGAUACUCAUCUGCAGAGAGAACAAGUCCCGUACAUCCAUCAGCCAGGCAUGUGUCACAGCUAGUUGAAGAGAAAUGACUUUUAGAAAGUUAAGCUUCCUCUGAAACCUCAGUACAUCUAUUAAUAAGGGAGAAUGAAAAGAAGACUAGAAAAUAAACUAGAAAUACAAGCAGUAGUCACCUGAGGCUGCACAUGAUUAACUUCACUAAAGCCCAUUACAUGCCUCUACAAGGAGAAAAUUCAAAUACUUUAUUGCAUUAGCUAAUGGUAAAAAUAAACUAGUGUGGCUUACAUACUAACAUGUAACAAUUUCAAGACUCAAACAAUUAUUUGAAACCUGAUUCUGACUUUACACCCAUUCUACGUUGGAUUAACUGCAUUUCUAUCGAGAUAAAUUUCAGUGGAGUUGUGCACACAUCCAUCAAUUUAAACAGACAGAGAUGCACCCAAGCUUUUGUCUAAGCUCUGAAGAUAUACUCUUAAAAAAUACUAGGCCUUGUCCAAAGAACUAAGAGUUCUAAGUUUUAUCCUGCACUGUGCAAAUACUAUUUUACUGUGGCAAGGCAAUGUCUUCAAGAUGAUCAGUAAAGAAGCCUGGGAGCCAGAAUAAUAAGCACCAUUUUCAAUAGAUGCUGACUUACAAGGUCUGAGAGACAGGGAAAUUCACACAACUGGGUCUUUUCCCUCUGUUCUGCUGCUAGCACUGUGCCUCAUAUCUAUUCUGCACAGCAGCUCAUCUUUGCUCUCACUCCAGGACCCCAUCUGCCAGACGUAACCGGUCACCGCCGCAUCGGCAGCCAUGCCCACGAGACAGCAGGGACAGCACGUACCUUUCCCCUGGCACAUCCCAGUAUUCAAUCCUGCAAACUGCUAAGUUAUACACUCAAAGAAGCUGCAAGAUGAGCUUAUAAAGUUUUCUACAUUUGCCUGUUUGUUUUAUAAAAAGAGUGUAUAAUGACAUAUGUUCUUUGAACCAGUGCUUAGCAAGUGAAGUUGUUUGCUAAUAAAAGUUUGUUGGUUUCAUAAUACA
rnacentral:lncRNA from 1 species